rnacentral:rRNA from 1 species
UUAAGUUAUUAAGGGCGCACGGUGGAUGCCUUGGCACUAGAAGCCGAUGAAGGACGUUACUAACGACGAUAUGCUUUGGGGAGCUGUAAGUAAGCUUUGAUCCAGAGAUUUCCGAAUGGGGAAACCCAGCAUGAGUUAUGUCAUGUUAUCGAUAUGUGAAUACAUAGCAUAUCAGAAGGCACACCCGGAGAACUGAAACAUCUUAGUACCCGGAGGAAGAGAAAGAAAAUUCGAUUCCCUUAGUAGCGGCGAGCGAAACGGGAAGAGCCCAAACCAACAAGCUUGCUUGUUGGGGUUGUAGGACACUCUAUACGGAGUUACAAAGGACGACAUUAGACGAAUCAUCUGGAAAGAUGAAUCAAAGAAGGUAAUAAUCCUGUAGUCGAAAAUGUUGUCUCUCUUGAGUGGAUCCUGAGUACGACGGAGCACGUGAAAUUCCGUCGGAAUCUGGGAGGACCAUCUCCUAAGGCUAAAUACUCUCUAGUGACCGAUAGUGAACCAGUACCGUGAGGGAAAGGUGAAAAGCACCCCGGAAGGGGAGUGAAAUAGAACCUGAAACCGUGUGCUUACAAGUAGUCAGAGCCCGUUAAUGGGUGAUGGCGUGCCUUUUGUAGAAUGAACCGGCGAGUUACGAUUUGAUGCAAGGUUAAGCAGUAAAUGUGGAGCCGUAGCGAAAGCGAGUCUGAAUAGGGCGUUUAGUAUUUGGUCGUAGACCCGAAACCAGGUGAUCUACCCUUGGUCAGGUUGAAGUUCAGGUAACACUGAAUGGAGGACCGAACCGACUUACGUUGAAAAGUGAGCGGAUGAACUGAGGGUAGCGGAGAAAUUCCAAUCGAACCUGGAGAUAGCUGGUUCUCUCCGAAAUAGCUUUAGGGCUAGCCUCAAGUGAUGAUUAUUGGAGGUAGAGCACUGUUUGGACGAGGGGCCCCUCUCGGGUUACCGAAUUCAGACAAACUCCGAAUGCCAAUUAAUUUAACUUGGGAGUCAGAACAUGGGUGAUAAGGUCCGUGUUCGAAAGGGAAACAGCCCAGACCACCAGCUAAGGUCCCUAAAUAUAUGUUAAGUGGAAAAGGAUGUGGCGUUGCCCAGACAACUAGGAUGUUGGCUUAGAAGCAGCCAUCAUUUAAAGAGUGCGUAAUAGCUCACUAGUCGAGUGACACUGCGCCGAAAAUGUACCGGGGCUAAACAUAUUACCGAAGCUGUGGAUUGUCCUUUGGACAAUGGUAGGAGAGCGUUCUAAGGGCGUUGAAGCAUGAUCGUAAGGACAUGUGGAGCGCUUAGAAGUGAGAAUGCCGGUGUGAGUAGCGAAAGACGGGUGAGAAUCCCGUCCACCGAUUGACUAAGGUUUCCAGAGGAAGGCUCGUCCGCUCUGGGUUAGUCGGGUCCUAAGCUGAGGCCGACAGGCGUAGGCGAUGGAUAACAGGUUGAUAUUCCUGUACCACCUAUAAUCGUUUUAAUCGAUGGGGGGACGCAGUAGGAUAGGCGAAGCGUGCGAUUGGAUUGCACGUCUAAGCAGUAAGGCUGAGUAUUAGGCAAAUCCGGUACUCGUUAAGGCUGAGCUGUGAUGGGGAGAAGACAUUGUGUCUUCGAGUCGUUGAUUUCACACUGCCGAGAAAAGCCUCUAGAUAGAAAAUAGGUGCCCGUACCGCAAACCGACACAGGUAGUCAAGAUGAGAAUUCUAAGGUGAGCGAGCGAACUCUCGUUAAGGAACUCGGCAAAAUGACCCCGUAACUUCGGGAGAAGGGGUGCUCUUUAGGGUUAACGCCCAGAAGAGCCGCAGUGAAUAGGCCCAAGCGACUGUUUAUCAAAAACACAGGUCUCUGCUAAACCGUAAGGUGAUGUAUAGGGGCUGACGCCUGCCCGGUGCUGGAAGGUUAAGAGGAGUGGUUAGCUUCUGCGAAGCUACGAAUCGAAGCCCCAGUAAACGGCGGCCGUAACUAUAACGGUCCUAAGGUAGCGAAAUUCCUUGUCGGGUAAGUUCCGACCCGCACGAAAGGCGUAACGAUUUGGGCACUGUCUCAACGAGAGACUCGGUGAAAUCAUAGUACCUGUGAAGAUGCAGGUUACCCGCGACAGGACGGAAAGACCCCGUGGAGCUUUACUGUAGCCUGAUAUUGAAAUUCGGCACAGCUUGUACAGGAUAGGUAGGAGCCUUUGAAACGUGAGCGCUAGCUUACGUGGAGGCGCUGGUGGGAUACUACCCUAGCUGUGUUGGCUUUCUAACCCGCACCACUUAUCGUGGUGGGAGACAGUGUCAGGCGGGCAGUUUGACUGGGGCGGUCGCCUCCUAAAAGGUAACGGAGGCGCUCAAAGGUUCCCUCAGAAUGGUUGGAAAUCAUUCAUAGAGUGUAAAGGCAUAAGGGAGCUUGACUGCGAGACCUACAAGUCGAGCAGGGUCGAAAGACGGACUUAGUGAUCCGGUGGUUCCGCAUGGAAGGGCCAUCGCUCAACGGAUAAAAGCUACCCCGGGGAUAACAGGCUUAUCUCCCCCAAGAGUUCACAUCGACGGGGAGGUUUGGCACCUCGAUGUCGGCUCAUCGCAUCCUGGGGCUGUAGUCGGUCCCAAGGGUUGGGCUGUUCGCCCAUUAAAGCGGUACGCGAGCUGGGUUCAGAACGUCGUGAGACAGUUCGGUCCCUAUCCGUCGUGGGCGUAGGAAAUUUGAGAGGAGCUGUCCUUAGUACGAGAGGACCGGGAUGGACAUACCUCUGGUGUACCAGUUGUCGUGCCAACGGCAUAGCUGGGUAGCUAUGUGUGGACGGGAUAAGUGCUGAAAGCAUCUAAGCAUGAAGCCCCCCUCAAGAUGAGAUUUCCCAACUUCGGUUAUAAGAUCCCUCAAAGAUGAUGAGGUUAAUAGGUUCGAGGUGGAAGCAUGGUGACAUGUGGAGCUGACGAAUACUAAUCGAUCGAAGACUUAAUCAA